CACGGAGCCGCGCAGAUCCAGGUCCUGGGUGACCACUCUGUCCCGAAUGGGCAAGACGUACCUAGUCCUGACGACAAGGGACAACGGCCUUAACCGGCCUGGAAGGUGUGCAGAGUCCCUACAACAACGAGUGGAAUGGUUAGCGGCACUUGCUCUAUGUUCUACCAGACCUUGCUGUUGGAAGAGAGAAAUGGCAGAAUGACAUGCACCAUUUGGCCCGCUGGAAAUGCCCACCAUCUUUUGGGAAGAUUUACUGGCUGUUUAUAGAAUGCCUGCCUAUAUAAUAUGAAAAAGCUGCUCUCAACUUCUCCCACCCAAAACCUUUUAAAAGAAAACAUUUGCCACAUCCGGCCCUUCUAGAGUAAAGAGGUUGCCGACGUAUGAAGUAGAGUUAGAAAAUCAUACACCUUGCAAAUUCUCAUUUGUUUAAAAAGAAGUCAGAAAAUGUCUUCUGGAGUUGACUUUUUGAAAUGGAGUUAUUAGACCGCUUCUGGAAGCAACACAUCCACGUUUGUUCAAUGGGCUAGAGGACAUGGAGCAGAAGACCUGAGAAGGAAGAGAAGAAGGUUCUGUGCUAGACUGGUCAUAGUUAGAAGACUUCUCAUACUCUAUCCAUUGUUUUGUGUGCAUUUUAUUCUCACUACUGUAUAUAUAGUUGACAAUGCUAAAGUUUUUUGUAAGGUCUAGUCUUUCUAGAUGUUCUGAAGUGCCUGAUAUAUGUUAAAAUUAGAGGUAGUAAAAUAAUACAUUUUGUAAAUAUAUAUGUAUAUACAUAGAACAGUCUUUGCAAAAUAGUGCAUGGGAGUCAUGGACUGAAGAGAGAAUGGUUAGGUGAGGAGGUGGACACAGUAAAUGUUAAAACAUUUCUUUCACAAGUUUGAGUGUGAAGUGGAACAAGAAUUAGGGCAGUAGGUAAUGGAAACUGAACAUAUGGGAAUGAAUAAGUCCUUCAUACAAAUAGAAAUACUUCAUUAGAAUGAAGGAAUGGAGAAGUGAGUGGAGAAAAGAAGACAAUGACUAAUGAAGAGGAUGAUAGUUUUAAAAUAGUUUUGAGGGUAGAAGAAGAGAUUUAUUUUUAAGUGGUUUCUAUUUUCUCAGUAAGGUGUGAAGCAUAUUAAUUAACUGAAAAAGCAGAAGAGAGAGACUUUUUUAAUAUUAUGUUAAAAGUAUGUAAUAAGCAUUUUGUGGAGUAAACAUACUAAAAAAGUAUAAUCAAACAUC